CAAACGUUGCAGGAAGGGUGUCUGAAAGGAUGCCCGUCUACGGACCUGCGACGAGGUGCUGCAUGGUUGUCGUCAGCUCGUGCCGUGAGGUGUCGGCUUAAGUGCCAUAACGAGCGCAACCCCUACCGCCAGUUGCCAACAGGCAAAGCUGGGGACUCUGGCGGGACUGCCGGCGCAAGCUGCGAGGAAGGCGGGGAUGACGUCAAAUCAGCACGGCCCUUACGUCCGGGGCGACACACGUGUUACAAUGGCAGGUACAGCGGGAAGCCACCUGGCGACAGGGAGCGGAACCCGAAAGCCUGUCUCAGUUCGGAUUGGAGUCUGCAACCCGACUCCAUGAAGCUGGAUUCGCUAGUAAUCGCGCAUCAGCCACGGCGCGGUGAAUACGUUCCCGGGCCUUGUACACACCGCCCGUCAAGCCAUGGGAGUCGGGAGUGCCUGAAGUGCGUGAGCGCGAGCAGCGCCCUAGGGCAAAACCGAUGACUGGGGCUAAGUCGUAACAAGGUAGCCGU
rnacentral:rRNA from 1 species